rnacentral:rRNA from 1 species
UACGUAGGGUGCAAGCGUUAAUCGGAAUUACUGGGCGUAAAGCGCACGUAGGCGGAUUGUUAAGUCAGGGGUGAAAUCCUGGAGCUCAACUCCAGAACUGCCUUUGAUACUGGCGAUCUCGAGUCCGGGAGAGGUGAGUGGAACUGCGAGUGUAGAGGUGAAAUUCGUAGAUAUUCGCAAGAACACCAGUGGCGAAGGCGGCUCACUGGCCCGGUACUGACGCUGAGGUGCGAAAGCGUGGGGAGCAAACAGG